CCUCCAGCAGCUACGUGCUCCGACUGCAGCUUUUUGUUCCACGGGUCUUGGGCUGCCGAGGGCACCCCCAUUCAUGGGUAGCCAAUUUCUCAAUGGUUGAUGGAUUCGGCUUUGUUCCCUGCCCAAGCUGGGGUGGGUCUAUACUAUCCUCCAUGGUUUAGGUAGCAUUGACUCCUUUAGCCCACCUUUUUCUCGAAAAAAAAAAAAAGGGAGAAAAAAAACUCUACUGUUGCUGAACUCGUGAAAGUCUGGAAAAAAAAGGGCGUUGCAGAGAGACCUUCACUACUUCAGUAGCUGCGUUCAAAUGGUGAUAUUAGCCAUAUCAAUACUUUUCUUCAUGACAAAAUCUCCUGUUGUCCAACUUGGGAACUUCCUGUAUUGCAGUUGAGGAAGCAGUAGUUUACUUUUGGGAUAUUGGAAGGUAUGACUGCAUGCAUCUACCUACCAUCUUCAAGGAGAAUAUAUUAAGAUUUUACUCAUAUACAUGUUACAAAAGAAUCCAGGGAAUGACAUGUUUGAAAGCUCCUUGGUGCAAUGAAUUCAACUUGAACUCAGCACUUGGUUUUGAAAAUUUCCAGUUAUUAUUUGCCAUUGAGAGAAAAUUCAAGAUGAGAAGGUAUUAUUGAGAGUUGGCUUUUCCCUGAAAUUAAAAGAUUCAACAAGAGAAGGCGAUGGAAAUAAAUGCAGUCUAAUCAAGCAAGAGUGUGGUUGGCAGGCAUAAAGAUACAAGCUUCCAGCUUAAAGUUGUCAAGGUGGGAUGCGGUUUGGGGUUACUCGCUGAUGAAGUUCCCAGUGGUAGGUAGCUUCUCUAUUUAUAGACAUGCUAAGAACUUAACCAUCAGAAUUUGACAUCUUCCUGGCUCCAUGAGGCUUAAAAUUCUUGUAUUUGAUGAAAAUUGUAGCUUUUGUUGUUCAAUCUGCACCAUGGUUCAAGGUUGUUCGACAUCAAUGGUCAGUAGAACUGUUAUUUUAUGUGAAUUGAAGAGCAUUACUUAUGAAUGGAUUGAAAGAUACAGAAAACAAGCUGUGAAUAUGGUGUGAUUCAUCUGGGUUAGGAACAAGAUUAGAAUUCAUCUGGGUCAGUAGACUGCAGCUUUUUGUUCCAUUGAUGCUUUGAAUAAUGUUAUUUUGCAUUAAUUAUACAAUAUAAAGUUAUAUUAUUUAAUAAA